UACAGAGGUCCCAAGCGUUGUUCGGAUUCAUUGGGCGUAAAGGGUGCGUAGGCGGCGCGGUAAGUCGGGUGUGAAAUCUCGGAGCUUAACUCCGAAACUGCAUUCGAUACUACCGUGCUUGAGGACUGGAGAGGAGACUGGAAUUUACGGUGUAGCGGUGAAAUGCGUAGAUAUCGUAAGGAAGACCAGUGGCGAAGGCGGGUCUCUGGACAGUUCCUGACGCUGAGGCACGAAGGCCAGGGGAGCAAACGGG
rnacentral:rRNA from 1 species